GAUGAACGCUGGCGGCGUGCCUAAUACAUGCAAGUCGAACGAGUUCUUGUUGAUGAUCGGUGCUUGCACCAAGAUUCAACAUGGAACGAGUGGCGGACGGGUGAGUAACACGUGGGUAACCUGCCCUUAAGUGGGGGAUAACAUUUGGAAACAGAUGCUAAUACCGCAUAGAUCCAAGAACCGCAUGGUUCUUGGCUGAAAGAUGGCGUAAGCUAUCGCUUUUGGAUGGACCCGCGGCGUAUUAGCUAGUUGGUGAGGUAAUGGCUCACCAAGGCGAUGAUACGUAGCCGAACUGAGAGGUUGAUCGGCCACAUUGGGACUGAGACACGGCCCAAACUCCUACGGGAGGCAGCAGUAGGGAAUCUUCCACAAUGGACGCAAGUCUGAUGGAGCAACGCCGCGUGAGUGAAGAAGGCUUUCGGGUCGUAAAACUCUGUUGUUGGAGAAGAAUGGUCGGCAGAGUAACUGUUGUCGGCGUGACGGUAUCCAACCAGAAAGCCACGGCUAACUACGUGCCAGCAGCCGCGGUAAUACGUAGGUGGCAAGCGUUAUCCGGAUUUAUUGGGCGUAAAGCGAGCGCAGGCGGUUUUUUAAGUCUGAUGUGAAAGCCCUCGGCUUAACCGAGGAAGCGCAUCGGAAACUGGGAAACUUGAGUGCAGAAGAGGACAGUGGAACUCCAUGUGUAGCGGUGAAAUGCGUAGAUAUAUGGAAGAACACCAGUGGCGAAGGCGGCUGUCUGGUCUGUAACUGACGCUGAGGCUCGAAAGCAUGGGUAGCGAACAGGAUUAGAUACCCUGGUAGUCCAUGCCGUAAACGAUGAAUGCUAGGUGUUGGAGGGUUUCCGCCCUUCAGUGCCGCAGCUAACGCAUUAAGCAUUCCGCCUGGGGAGUACGACCGCAAGGUUGAAACUCAAAGGAAUUGACGGGGGCCCGCACAAGCGGUGGAGCAUGUGGUUUAAUUCGAAGCAACGCGAAGAACCUUACCAGGUCUUGACAUCUUUUGAUCACCUGAGAGAUCAGGUUUCCCCUUCGGGGGCAAAAUGACAGGUGGUGCAUGGUUGUCGUCAGCUCGUGUCGUGAGAUGUUGGGUUAAGUCCCGCAACGAGCGCAACCCUUAUGACUAGUUGCCAGCAUUUAGUUGGGCACUCUAGUAAGACUGCCGGUGACAAACCGGAGGAAGGUGGGGAUGACGUCAAAUCAUCAUGCCCCUUAUGACCUGGGCUACACACGUGCUACAAUGGAUGGUACAACGAGUUGCGAGACCGCGAGGUCAAGCUAAUCUCUUAAAGCCAUUCUCAGUUCGGACUGUAGGCUGCAACUCGCCUACACGAAGUCGGAAUCGCUAGUAAUCGCGGAUCAGCACGCCGCGGUGAAUACGUUCCCGGGCCUUGUACACACCGCCCGUCACACCAUGAGAGUUUGUAACACCCGAAGCCGGUGGCGUAACCCUUUUAGGGAGCGAGCCGUCUAAGGUGGGACAAAUGAUUAGGGUG
rnacentral:rRNA from 2 species